rnacentral:lncRNA from 1 species
CGCUGCCCGGGCUCGCUGCGUGGUGCUACCGCCCCCGGGCCCGCUGCGCCGCGUCGGAGCCCCAGCAGACUUUGAGAGGCGUGUGCGACAGUGCGCGUCCUCUCCUGCCUCUGGAUGUUUCCUUGGAGCCUCUGGCCUUCGGGAAGACCGCCUGAUGGCCUGGUGUUGGGCCUGAUCACCCCAAAAUUUCAGGCACCCAACGUGGGGCUAUGAAGACCAUGGUAAAGAAAUGCUAGAGUAUAUGGAAAUGAAGGACAUAUCAUCAAAGGACACCCGAGGAUGGCUGAAAGAAGCUUGGUGGGUAAGCUGGGCACUCUGAAGAACCAAGGUAACAAUGGGACAAAAUGAAAGUAAACAUUCUGCUUGUUUAAACUUUCUAAGGCAUUUAUUAUGGAGAGGGGGAGUGAAAGUUAGUA